ensembl:lncRNA
UCUCUCUCUCUCUCUCUGUCUCUCUCUCACACACACACACACACACACACACACACACAGUGUGCACACACAGAUUCACAGUUAUAGCCACAAAACACUUAUGUCCAUGAAUGUUCCCUUGAAAGAAAACAGCUGUGUCUUAAUGUGGCUGUGAUCAGUGCAAUGCUCCAUAAUCAGGGAAAUCUUUUCAAAAUGACAUUAAGAACAAAUCAUGCAAAAUCACACAAAACUUUAAUAUGAAAAAGGACAAGGAAUAUGACUGCUGUAACAGGUUAACUGUUACCACAUCGUAGUCAUGUAUCAAAUUACUAAAUCGACAUUAGCUCUCGUCAGUACCAUUUAUACUUGGCUCAAAUACUGCACUUACAUUCGCGUCAUGCAAAACAAAUAGGCAAGUUAGAAACAGACAAAGAAUCAAAGAAACAACAAGAGCCCAGUGCCGUGUCUCUGCUCUAUUAAAGUGGCAUAUUAUAAAAGCAAUAAAGAGAGAGAGGCCACUCUUAUAACCUCUGAAAUGAUACAAAAAGAGAGAGAGGCCAUUCUUAUAACCUCUGCAAUGAUAGAAAAAAAGAGAGAGAGGCCAUUCUUAUAACCUCUGAAAUGAUAAACAAAAGACUGAAAGGAGGAAGAAGGUGCAGCCUAGGUGGGAGGUGUGGUGGAUUCAUUCUUUAGGGACGGAUCUAAAGGCAUUGCCAAUAACGCCGGGGUCUGUGCUCUGUCUGUGCUGUCUGUGCUCUGUCUGUGCUGGGCCCUGGAACUGGAUGCUCAUACACGGCAGGUCAAUUAUUCAGCGGUGGUGUGUGCCCGUGUGUGCCAAAGGGACAGAGGAGAGGCGGUGGUGUGUGUGCCAGUGUGCCCGUGUCCAAAGGGACAGAGGAGAGGCAGGGGGGGGCCAGACUCUGCAGGUAUGCCACAGCGUCCCACUUCAUAUUACGCACCUUUAGUACAAUGCACUUCCACAUGUCAUAAACAAAACCAUCUUCUUUUUAUGUAAUUACUGAUUAAUAAAUCCAACCUUAAUAAAUCUAUUACCCUAAUACAUGCUGUAACUAAAGUACUGAUGUACAAAUAGAAAACAUUUACAAAUAUAAUAUUAUAAUUCAUUAAAUGUAUAGGGCGUGUGUGUAGUGAGUAUAGAUACACUACAUAAAGUGGGGCAAUGGCAGGUCGUAUUCCAACAGGAUUUUCUUUCAGAGGUUUAGGUUUAGCUGUUGUGUUUGUAUUCGUUUAUAAUUCAUUCAGUAAUUGAUUAUUAUUGAAUUAUUUGACAGGACUGGAGAUUUGGUGUUUGAUUUAAGCAGAAAGAGAAAGAGAGGCAGAGUGUGUGUGUGUGUGUGUGUGUGUGUGUGUGUGUAUGCUUAACUGUGAGAAAGAAUUGUAAAAAGCAACAAAGACAUCCUGACAAAAAAGAGAGGAUUUGGUCGUCAGCAUCACGAGUGGAGCCCCGUCUCUGUCCCCCAUCUUAGGUUACUGGUCCAGUGGACACAAUGAGUCAUUCAUCAGCCCCUGCGGCCAGCACCCAGCCAUUCCAUGGCCUUCAAACAUCU